AGAAUCAAAGAGAGAAAGAAAAUAGAAUGCACUGCACGGCAGAAAAACGUAGGAGAGAAAAGAGAGAGAGUAAUAUUGGAAAUAAAGUUUUCAUACAACAAAUAUUUUAAUCACAUGUUUUUCAAUGCCGAGAAAAUAUUUUGAACGUAUAUUCAGAUUUUUCAAACGAGGUUAGAUCGGGUCAAUUGGAACUAUGACGAAUUGGUGACGCGGGUUGCCAAGUGGAUCAAAGGAAAAGAAAAAAAAAUAAGUUUGUCGUUUUUAAAUUUACCAAUCAGUUUAGUUUUGUUCAAAAAUUGUUAUUUGAAUAUGUUAAGAGUUUAUGUUUAUGUUUAGAUA